AGCACGGUGGUGCAGUGGGUACCACUGUCGCCUCACAGCAAGAAGGUCGUGGGUUCGAAUCCGGCCUGGGCCU
rnacentral:tRNA from 1 species